UACGGAGGGUGCAAGCGUUGUUCGGAUUUAUUGGGCGUAAAGGGCGUGUAGGUGGCUUGCCAAGUCUGGUGUGAAAUCCCACGGCUCAACCGUGGAACUGCAUUGGAAACUGGCGAGCUCGAGUGUCGGAGGGGGUCGCGGAAUUCCCGGUGUAGAGGUGAAAUUCGUAGAUAUCGGGAGGAACACCAGUGGCGAAGGCGGCGACCUGGCCGAAUACUGACACUGAGACGCGAAAGCGUGGGUAGCAAACAGG
rnacentral:rRNA from 1 species